ACUCUGACCAGCCAUGCCGCGUGCAGGAAGACUGCCCUAUGGGUUGUAAACUGCUUUUAUCCGGGAAUAAACCUAAAUACGUGUAUUUAGCUGAAUGUACCGGAAGAAUAAGGAUCGGCUAACUCCGUGCCAGCAGCCGCGGUAAUACGGAGGAUCCAAGCGUUAUCCGGAUUUAUUGGGUUUAAAGGGUGCGUAGGCGGCCUGUUAAGUCAGGGGUGAAAGACGGUAGCUCAACUAUCGCAGUGCCCUUGAUACUGAUGGGCUUGAAUGGACUAGAGGUAGGCGGAAUGAGACAAGUAGCGGUGAAAUGCAUAGAUAUGUCUCAGAACACCGAUUGCGAAGGCAGCUUACUAUGGUCUUAUUGACGCUGAGGCACGAAAGCGUGGGGAUCAAACAGGAUUAGAUACCCUGGUAGUCCACGCCCUAAACGAUGAACACUCGCUGUUGGCGAUACACAGUCAGCGGCUAAGCGAAAGCGUUAAGUGUUCCACCUGGGGAGUACGCCCGCAAGGGUGAAACUCAAAGGAAUUGACGGGGGCCCGCACAAGCGGAGGAGCAUGUGGUUUAAUUCGAUGAUACGCGAGGAACCUUACCCGGGCUUGAAAGUUAGUGAAUGAUCCAGAGAUGGAUCAGUG
rnacentral:rRNA from 1 species